CUUUAUGAAGAUAGAUACAGUUUGACCUGCCCACUGAUUAAUUUAAGGGCCGCGGUAUUCCUAACCGUGCUAAGGUAGCAUAAUCAUUAGUCUCUUAAUUGGAGGCUUGUAUGAAAGGUUGGACGAGAAAUAUACUGUUUCAAAUAAAAGAUUUGAAUUUAACUUUUAAGUGAAAAGGCUUAAAUAAAUUAAAAAGACGAUAAGACCCUAUAAAUCUUUACGGUAGAGUUUAUGUUUUUUAAUUUAUUAGUUUAAAAAAAUAUUUAAAUUAUACGUUUGGUUGGGGCGACAUAAAUAUAAAAUGAUUAACUGUUUGUUUAAUUAAACAAUAAUUGUUGAUAAAGGAGAUCCUGUUAUAAAGAUUAAAAGACUAAGUUACUUUAGGGAUAACAGCGUUAUUCUUUUUGAGAGUUCUUAUUUAAAAAAGAGUUUGCGACCUCGAUGUUGAAUUAAAAAUUCUUUAUGGUGCAGCAGCUAUAAAAGAAAGUCUGUUCGACUUUUAAAUUUUUACAUGAUUU
rnacentral:rRNA from 1 species